rnacentral:lncRNA from 1 species
UGAUAUUGAUCAAGUAGUCCUCUUUUGAUGUUAAAUUAUAAAUCACCGUACCCAAACGUGAUUUUUCUUGUGAUAUCUUAAAUUUAUUACCCCCCUUAAUAUAAAACUUUAGCUAAUUUUUUUUUUCUUUCAAUAAUCGUAUUACCAUGGGAUAAGUUUUUUCUUAUUCAUGCAACGGUAAUUUCAGUAGCAACACCACAAAGGAAAACUUUGUUGAGUAGUUUAAGAAAGAUCUCUUGAGUGGUAUAGACUAUAGUUUAGACUGUAUAUGGUCCCUCGAAGAAACAAUCAAUGCUACAUUUAAAAAGCAACCUCCGUG